rnacentral:rRNA from 1 species
GACGAACGCUGGCGGCGUGCCUAAUACAUGCAAGUUGAGCGCUUAAGGUGGGUACGUGUCCCAACUGGAUGAGCAGCGAACGGGUGAGGAACGCGUGGGUAAUCUGCCGUUGAGGGGGGGACAACAUUUGGAAACGAAUGCUAAUACCGCAUAAGAACGUUAAACAGAAGUUUUAAGUUUGAAAGAUGCAAUUGCCUCACCCAAAGAUGAUCCCGCGGUGUGUUAGCUAGUUGGUGAGGUAAAGGCUCACCCAGGCGAUGAUACAUAGCCGACCUGAUAGGGUGGACGGCCACAUCGGGAACGAGACAACGCCCCAACCCCUACGGGAGGCAGCAGGAGGGGAACUUUGGAAAUGGAGGGAAGUCUGACCCCGCCCCGCCGGGGGAGUGCAGAAGGUUUUCGGAUCGUAAAACUCUGUUGGUAUGGAAGAACGUUGAUGAGGGUAGAACGCUCAUGAAGUGACGUUACCUACAGAGAAAGCGACGGCUAACUACGUG